CCUAGUGAAGCCACCCCGUGCACCGCCACUUCCGGUCGCUGCACUCUUCCCUCGUGACUAAGAAAGUACUUCCGGGUACCGCCAUUGACAUCCGCCCCCGGGGCAAGAACGCGUUACCACCAAACCCUUCCGGUACGCGUGCCAAGAGGAAAUGAACAUCCGAGGGCAACACGCUAGCUCGCCGCACUGCCACGAGGCUGCGUGGUUUGGUUCCUAGGCCAGGUUGCGCCGCGGGCGAGCGGCCAGACCUCUUUGCGGGAUGCACGAGAAGGGGCAGGGCGCCGAAGGGCCAGUGCCCUCUACAUGGGAAUAAGUAUGCACGUUCUGGAAAAGCCUCAUAAUACAGCAGCCCAUACUAUUGGCCGCAUCAACAGGAAGAAGUGCAUUGCUGCAAUCUCGUGCCUUCAGCAACUACACAGACUAAUCUUUGAAUGCCAGAUAGACACUUCAAAGUCACAGUCCUAAUCUCCAAAGUUCUCUCUUCAAAUGGGAUGUGUCUCAUCUGCCUGAAUUAACAUCCAUGACUUCUAUGCCAGUUGCACUUCUCAGGAAUGAUGGAGCUGUCCACAAGGACAAUAUUUAGAAUGAGUAGAAACAGCACUUUUUCAGUGGACAGCUCAUGGUUAUGGAACUCCCUUCCCCAAGAAAUUAGAAUGACUGAAUCUUCCUGCUUUCAUGUGUAAGUGCAAGAUCCAACAUUUUCCCCUUAGUUUUCCCGCAACAGUUAACCACCCCCCCACACACCAAACAACCCUCUCUCCCAGCCAAAGAGCUGGUGCCACAAAACCCCUCUCUGUAAGUGGAUAUAGGGGAGAGAGAGAAUCUGCAAUUUGCUAUCUGUUUCCAUUUGCUUGCAAUGAACUAAGAUGCAUUGUGGUUAUUGUGGUAAAAAUAUGUGGAUAGAAGAUUAUUAAAAGUAGGUGGCUUUAAAUAACAAAGGUAAUUUUUUAAAAUUGCUCAUGUUUGAAAACUUGACUUCAGGGGCUGGAUGACUGAGGGCAUAUAUAAGUGCUAUGGAGUCUUUCACAUAUAGGUCAACACUAUGAGUCAAACCCUAGUUGGUAGAAAUUAAAAACUAUUUCCAUCUGAUGGUUGUUAUGGUGGCUUUGAUCCAGGUCUCAAGGGAUGGGUGUCUACAAAAACAGUAUCUCAGUUUACAUUAAUAAUAUUGUUGGCAUUUACAGCAGAAAGGCUUUACUCUUGUUGGUGAAUAGUUACUUACUGUAGUAGUGCCAUUAGCUUCAGUGUGAUUAUCACAUGAGUGACUGCUCACCAAUGUGAAUAAGGUCUCCACAAUCUGGGACCAAGUUUUUAGUGGGUUGUGGAAACUGAUUUUCACUGGCACUCUAAAACUGGUCUCUCCAGCAAAGGGUUGAGAGCAGGGACAUGGGCAUUGCUGUUGUCAGUGUUGUAAAUAUUCUUUGGAUAAAUAGAGGGCUUCAGUCUGUCAAUGUAGAACAUUUCAUCAGCACUGAAGGAAUAAACAAACAUGAAAAACAAAGAAAAAAAACAUUAUGUUUUCAUUAGUCCUUAGAACACGAGACUUAGUGUUUGGAUGGAAAACAUGUUCUUUUUAACUUUUUUUUAAAAAUCCUUAAACAACAGGUGCACCUUAGAAUCAUAAUAAGCAACACAGCGAUAAUCCAGAGAGUUAUGAAAGUUAUGUAAAUUCUAAUACUGAGAGUGGGAGGAGAGAGGUAAAUUGAGUACAGGUCAGCGAGCCUGAGUUCUAAUCCCAGCUCUGACACAAUCUGUCUGUGGAACUAGACUAACUUGAGGCCAGAAUUUCAAAUCAGCUGAGCACCUCCAGCUCCCACUGAAGUCACUCAGCUUUCAGUUGCACUGAAGGCAGCUGGGGUUGCUCAUCACCUCUAAAACUAAGACCAUGAAUCUCUCUUUUAGUUUUUCUGUUGAUAAAAUGAUGAUUAAAAUACUCAUCUACCUCUCAGGAGUCUUCUGUGCAUUAAUUAGUUAAUAGUUGUAAAACAGCAUGUGGGCCUGUUAACGGAAAGUCUUCCACAGACUUUCAUGGGAAUUGAAUCAGGCUUUAUAACCAUAUUAAAAGCCGACCAACACAUAAAAUACUGCAAUACAAAACAAAAAAUAGACAUGGAAAUUAGUGUUUUACAGUCCUUCUGGCAUCAGCAGUGUUUCCAGCAUCAAAAUAUUGCCCUUUGUAUAGAAUAUAAUUCCUUUCCCUAGAGGUAGUCCAGGCUAAAAUGACUCUAUUUUAAUCGUUACUGAAAAUUCAACCUAGAUAUUCAAUGUAGGUAUUUCUGGCUCCUGAUAUGUUCAUGAAAGGUUGGUUCUGUUAUUUAGUGCCUGUUAAUCAAAUUUUAUUUAUUCUUUUAAAAUAAAUUAAGUAUAAAUCUUUAUUAUGACUGAAGAUUUUCCUCCCUGUUUCCCAGAAUUAAGUCUUUAAAAAAGCUCUCUGUCCCUAAAUAUUUCUGCCUUGAACAGGUUUUUUUGAAAAAGAAAACUACUCUUAAGAUGGUUUAAUUUCAAAUUUCCCAUGUAUUGCUGAAUUGUAACUAUUAUUUCUUUGUCCUGCAACAACUUAUAAAUUGGUUCCUUGAAUUUGUACUUUACAGUCA